rnacentral:rRNA from 1 species
UACGAAGGUGGCAAGCGUUGUCCGGAUUUAUUGGGUUUAAAGGGUGCGUAGGCGGCCCCGUAAGUCAGUGGUGAAAUAUCUCAGUUUAACUGAGAGGGUGCCAUUGAUACUGCAGGGCUUGAGUACAGAUGAGGUAGGCGGAAUUGACGGUGUAGCGGUGAAAUGCAUAGAUAUCGUCAAGAACACCGAUAGCGAAGGCAGCUUACUAAGCUGUAACUGACGCUGACGCACGAAAGUGUGUGGAUCAAACAGG